AUCAGACGCACUGUGCCUCACAUAUUACAUUUGAGUCUUUAGUUCCAAAAAGUUAACUCAUUAUUUUGAAAUAAUGUCAAUGUAAAUUCACAAUUUAGUGUUGAAAAGAUUUGGUGGGGGAUUAUUGUACUUUUAUUUUUGUUGGUGUGGUAGUGACAAUUGCCACAAGUUGUCUAGUCAGAUUAACAGGCCAAGGAUGUUUAUCAAGAAUAUUUAUUUACAAGUAUGCAUCCGCGAUUGACCCAGAAGUAAUUAAGACAGCCGUGUUUGACACGGCAGUGAUUUUUUCCAAAGGGACGCAGAGCACACAUUAGAGUAAAUGGACAUGAAAGUGUCCCUAAAAUGGUCCAGAGUACUCUCUUCUCAUCAGCUUGAGAAAACUUAAUUUCAAUUUUAAUGUUUAAUUUCAACAUUGGUGCGUUUGCUAAUGUUUUCCACUGGUUUCUCCUAUUGUUGGGUGAAUUAAUACCUCUAAUGGCACAAAUGUUGUCAUUUACUUUGCCAUGUGUAUAACAAAGCAAAAAGAUAUAUAUAAUUUCAUGUAGCACAUGCCCAUGACUGGUCUAAGCUGUAUAUUGUAUUAUAAUUCAGACAUUGUAGGUAAAAGUAAAAUGUUAUUACCGAGGCCCCUUUUCACUUGUGUUUGUACAAGUUCUUCAACGGAUGGGGGAGGUACAGGCGGAAGUUGACUGAGCUUGCGUGGAUCAUCUGGCCUCAGUGUCCGUGUUCUUGGCAUGCCUUUAUCUGCUUCCAAUCUACACUUCACCACCUCAGUCUGCAGCGCUUGAAUGUAGCCAUAUGUUUUUGGUGUCUUCAAUGCAUAAACGCUA